AGCGAACGUUAGCGGCGCGCCUAACACAUGCAAGUCGCACGAGAAAGGGAGCAAUCCCCGGUACAGUGGCGCACGGGUGAGUAACACGUAGAUGACCUUCCCUGGAGUGGUGGAUAACCUGCCGAAAGGCGGGCUAAUACAGCAUGGGACCACAUGGUUUUGACCGAGUGGUGAAAGCGGGCCUCUGUUCACAAGCUCGCGCUCUGGGAUGGGUCUGCGUCCCAUCAGCUAGUUGGUGAGGUAAUGGCUCACCAAGGCAUCGACGGGUAGCUGGUCUGAGAGGAUGACCCAGCCCACACUGGAACUGAGACACGGUUCCAGACUCCUACGGGAGGCAGCAGUGGGGAAUCUUGCGCAAUGGGCGAAAGCCUGACGCAGCGACGCCGCGUGGGUGAUGAAGGCC
rnacentral:rRNA from 1 species